rnacentral:rRNA from 1 species
CAGGUUUACCUGUGUGACUGCGUACCUUUUGUAUAAUGGGUCAGCGACUUAUAUUCUGUAGCAAGGUUAACCGAAUAGGGGAGCCGGAGGGAAACCGAGUCUUAAUUGGGCGUUAAGUUGCAGGGUAUAGACCCGAAACCCGGUGAUCUAGCCAUGGGCAGGUUGAAGGUUGGGUAACACUAACUGGAGGACCGAACCGACUAAUGUUGAAAAAUUAGCGGAUGACCUGUGGCUGGGGGUGAAAGGCCAAUCAAACCGGGAGAUAGCUGGUUCUCCCCGAAAGCUAUUUAGGUAGCGCCUCGUGAACUCAUCUCCGGGGGUAGAGCACUGUUUCGGCUAGGGGGCCAUCCCGGCUUACCAACCCGAUGCAAACUGCGAAUACCGGAGAAUGUUAUCACGGGAGACACACGGCGGGUGCUAACGUCCGUCGUGAAGAGGGAAACAACCCAGACCGCCAGCUAAGGUCCCAAAGUCAUGGUUAAGUGGGAAACGAUGUGGGAAGGCCCAGACAGCCAGGAUGUUGGCUUAGAAGCAGCCAUCAUUUAAAGAAAGCGUAAUAGCUCACUGGUCGAGUCGGCCUGCGCGGAAGAUGUAACGGGGCUAAACCAUGCACCGAAGCUGCGGCAGCGAACGUAUCACUUAAAGCGAUUCAGCGGGUUACGAUUGACGGAGCGAAGCGACGUCAAAGCGUAUACAAAGUCGAGUCGGUUUAAGGAUACGUU